rnacentral:rRNA from 1 species
GACGAACGCUGGCGGCGUGCUUAACACAUGCAAGUCGAACGGAAAGGCCCUGCUUUUGUGGGGUGCUCGAGUGGCGAACGGGUGAGUAACACGUGAGUAACCUGCCCUUGACUUUGGGAUAACUUCAGGAAACUGGGGCUAAUACCGGAUAGGAGCUCCUGCUGCAUGGUGGGGGUUGGAAAGUUUCGGCGGUUGGGGAUGGACUCGCGGCUUAUCAGCUUGUUGGUGGGGUAGUGGCUUACCAAGGCUUUGACGGGUAGCCGGCCUGAGAGGGUGACCGGCCAAAUUGGGACUGAGAUACGGCCCAGACUCCUACGGGAGGAAGCAGUGGGGAAUAUUGAAAAAUGGGCGGAAGCCUGAUGCAGCAACGCCGCGUGCGGGAUGACGGCCUUCGGGUUGUAAACCGCUUUCGCCUGUGACGAAGCGUGAGUGACGGUAAUGGGUAAAGAAGCACCGGCUAACUACGUG